AUGCACGCUAGCUACAGGCUUAACACAUGCAAGUCGAGGGGCAGCAUGGUCUUAGCUUGCUAAGGCCGAUGGCGACCGGCGCACGGGUGAGUAACACGUAUCCAACCUGCCGUCUACUCUUGGACAGCCUUCUGAAAGGAAGAUUAAUACAAGAUGGCAUCAUGAGUCCGCAUGUUCACAUGAUUAAAGGUAUUCCGGUAGACGAUGGGGAUGCGUUCCAUUAGAUAGUAGGCGGGGUAACGGCCCACCUAGUCUUCGAUGGAUAGGGGUUCUGAGAGGAAGGUCCCCCACAUUGGAACUGAGACACGGUCCAAACUCCUACGGGAGGCAGCAGUGAGGAAUAUUGGUCAAUGGGCGCAGGCCUGAACCAGCCAAGUAGCGUGAAGGAUGACUGCCCUAUGGGUUGUAAACUUCUUUUAGAAAGGAAUAAAGUCGGGUAUGUAUACCCGUUUGCAUGUACUUUAUGAAUAAGGAUCGGCUAACUCCGUG
rnacentral:rRNA from 1 species